CGGCGGACGGGUGAGUAACGCGUGGGUAACCUGCCUCAUACAGGGGGAUAACAGUCAGAAAUGACUGCUAAUACCGCAUAAGACCACGGUACCGCAUGGUACAGUGGUAAAAACUCCGGUGGUACAGGAUGGGCCCGCGUCUGAUUAGCUGGUUGGCAGGGUAACGGCCUACCAAGGCGACGAUCAGUAGCCGGUCUGAGAGGAUGAACGGCCACAUUGGAACUGAGACACGGUCCAA
rnacentral:rRNA from 1 species